GAUGAACGCUGGCGGCGUGCCUAAUACAUGCAAGUCGAGCGAACAGACGAGGAGCUUGCUCCUUUGACGUUAGCGGCGGACGGGUGAGUAACACGUAGGUAACCUACCUAUAAGACUGGGAUAACUUCGGGAAACCGGAGCUAAUACCGGAUAAUAUUUCGAACCGCAUGGUUCGAUAGUGAAAGAUGGCUUUGCUAUCACUUAUAGAUGGACCUGCGCCGUAUUAGCUAGUUGGUAAGGUAACGGCUUACCAAGGCAACGAUACGUAGCCGACCUGAGAGGGUGAUCGGCCACACUGGAACUGAGCCACGGUCCAGACUCCUACGGGAGGCAGCAGUAGGGAAUCUUCCGCAAGGGGCGAAAGCCUGACGGAGCAACGCCGCGUGAGUGAUGAAGGUCUUCGGAUCGUAAAACUCUGUUAUUAGGGAAGAACAAACGUGUAAGGAACUGUGCACGUCUUGACGGUACCUAAUCAGAAAGCCACGGCUAACUACGUG
rnacentral:rRNA from 1 species